rnacentral:lncRNA from 1 species
AAUCCAAUUAAUUAUUUCCAUCAUCCAUUAAUUACUCACUACAAGAGUGUAUCGGUGUACAAUCAUUGUAGGUUCUAAUUAGCAAGGCAGUGAGGUGAUUGACAUCAAUCCAAUUGAUUAUAUUUAAUCCAAUCACUUAGUGAAUUAAAACUUCCUUUUAAUUCACUUUUCUUCUUUGAUGACUACAUUUAAUCAUCUAGAAGAACUCACAAGCUAUGAGUGACAUCUAACCAUAUGUCAUAGCUACCCAAGCUAAUGUAGAAGUUGUUUGGAGAACCUAUUCAGUUGGAAUUACAAUGUAAUUCGAUCCUUCUCUAAAACAAUACUCUCAAUCACAUUACUAGGGUAUGGAUAUAUUAUGUCAAACCCCUAAUGUGAUUAUUCCUUCUUAUAUGAUUCUAUUGAGUCGUAUAGGAACGUUUUCCUUUAUUACGCUCGAUACUUCGGCCGAAGAUUCCCGAAUCAUAUCUUAGAGUAUUCUUCCUCUCUUAUCGAGGAUUAGAGAUUCCUUGUUGCGCAUUCACUUGCCUUCAUGACUAAGUGGCUUAACCUCAAUUAUGCCGUGGAC